rnacentral:lncRNA from 1 species
UUUAUUUUUGCUUUGGAAAAUCGUUAUUCGGGUACAGGAUAUUUUUCUGAUUUUUUUGGUAUAUAAUACCCCAUAUUAAAUAUUUGAUUUGUUUCCUUUUUAUUCACUUUUGUUUUUCUGUUUCGGAAAAGAAUUAAAUUAGGAAAGUUUUUUUUAGAAGGCAACCGCCGCCUGGGCACUUAUUAGCAGUGGGCCGCCACCCCCACAGCCCGGGAUCCGAUUUGCCUACGGAUCGGCCGC